CAGCAGCCACGGUAAUACGUAGGGUGCGAGCGUUAAUCGGAAUUACUGGGCGUAAAGCGUGCGCAGGCGGUUGUGUAAGACAGGUGUGAAAUCCCCGGGCUUAACCUGGGAACUGCGCUUGUGACUGCACAGCUAGAGUAUGGCAGAGGGGGGUGGAAUUCCACGUGUAGCAGUGAAAUGCGUAGAGAUGUGGAGGAACACCGAUGGCGAAGGCAGCCCCCUGGGCCAAUACUGACGCUCAUGCACGAAAGCGUGGGGAGCAAAUGGGAUUAGAUACCCCAGUAGUCCCUGUCUCUUAUAC
rnacentral:rRNA from 1 species